rnacentral:rRNA from 1 species
AUUGAACGCUGGCGGCAUGCCUUACACAUGCAAGUCGAACGGUAACAGGUUAAGCUGACGAGUGGCGAACGGGUGAGUAAUAUAUCGGAACGUGCCCAGUCGUGGGGGAUAACGUAGCGAAAGCUACGCUAAUACCGCAUACGAUCUACGGAUGAAAGCGGGGGAUCGCAAGACCUCGCGCGAUUGGAGCGGCCGAUAUCAGAUUAGGUUGUUGGUGAGGUAAAAGCUCACCAAGCCUGCGAUCUGUAGCUGGUCUGAGAGGACGACCAGCCACACUGGAACUGAGACACGGUCCAGACUCCUACGGGAGGCAGCAGUGGGGAAUUUUGGGCAAUGGACGCAAGUCUGAUCCAGCAAUGCCGCGUGCAGGACGAAGGCCUUCGGGUUGUAAACUGCUUUUGUACGGAACGAAACGGUGAGCUCUAAUACAGUUUGCUAAUGACGGUACCGUAAGAAUAAGCACCGGCUAACUACGUGCCAGCAGCCGCUGUAA